rnacentral:rRNA from 1 species
CUCGUAGGUGGUUCGUCACGUCGGAUGUGAAACUCUGGGGCUUAACCCCAGACCUGCAUUCGAUACGGGCGAGCUUGAGUAUGGUAGGGGAGUCUGGAAUUCCUGGUGUAGCGGUGGAAUGCGCAGAUAUCAGGAGGAACACCAAUGGCGAAGGCAGGACUCUGGGCCAUUACUGACACUGAGGAGCGAAAGCGUGGGGAGCGAACA